rnacentral:lncRNA from 1 species
GUGGCCUGCUGACUGCAUCUGCCAGAUGACUACCAAUGUUUUUAUAGAUUGAGAGGAACUACGCUCAAGGAGCCUCAUGCAUACCUGGACCUGAUUUAAAUGAUGAGAUGCUGGACUUCAAGCAGAUGCUGUAAUGAUAUGAGGUUCUCAGGGACCUUGGGAAAUAGUAAAUGUAUUUUGUGUGUGAGAGGGACACAAAUCAUUGGAGGCCAAAAGGGUGAACUGAGGACAGAUGCUAGGGUAGCUCCCACAAUCCCCACCUCCUGGUUUCACCCUUGUGGGAUCUCGCCAUGAGUGUGGAUGGAACCUGUGAUUUGCUUCUAACUAGUAGAAUUUGGCAAAAAAUGAUGAGAUAUAUGUGAUUAUGUUUACAUGAUUAUAUUAUAUAAGAUUCUGAGUACAUUGAGCUGCAUAGAGAGAGCACGGGGGCAAGUGAGAGCCAGGUGGGUACUGGAAAGCUCUGUGCCUCACUGAGGAAAAAUAACUAAACAUGGGCAAAAGAGAUCCAUGGAACCUGAGAGGCAAGGUGUUAUUAUAUGCAUUCU